GAAAUUAUUUUAAAUGGCCGCAGUAAUUUGACUGUGCAAAGGUAGCAUAAUCAUUAGUUUUUUAAUUAAAAGCUUGUAUGAAGGGUUGGACGAGAUAAAAUCUGUCUCUAUUUAAUUUAUUAUAAAAUUUAAUUUUUAAGUUAAAAAGCUUAAAUUUUUUUAAAAGACGAGAAGACCCUAUAGAUCUUUAUAGUUUUGAUUUUGAAUUUAAUUAAUAAAUUUUUAUGAUUUAUAAUUUAAACUAUUUUAUUGGGGUAAUAGAAAGAUUAAAAUAAUUCUUUUUUUUCUUUAAACAUUUAUUUAUGUUUUUAAUGAUCCAAUUUUAUUGAUUAUAAGAUUAAGUUACCUUAGGGAUAACAGCGUAAUUUUUUUAGAGAGUUCUUAUCGAUAAAAAAGUUUGCGACCUCGAUGUUGGAUUAAAGAUUAGUUUAGGUGUAGAAGUUUAAAUUUUUGGUCUGUUCGACCAUUAAAUCUUUACAUGAUCUGAGUUCAGACCGGCGUAAGCCAGGUCGGUUUCUAUCUUUAAUAAUUUUAAAAUAUUUUAGUACGAAAGGACCAAAUAUUUAAUAUAUUUAUAUUUAAUUUUUUGAAUAUUAUUAAAAAUUAUUUUGGCAGAAUAGUGCAAUGAAUUUAGAAUUCAUAAAUGUAAUUUUAUUACAAAUAAUACUUGUUUUUUUUAGAUGUAAUUUUUUCUUUAGUAUGUAUAUUUUUAUUAAUUAUUU
rnacentral:rRNA from 1 species